rnacentral:rRNA from 1 species
AAUCUUACCGGGUCCGGACACACUGAGGAUUGACAGACAGUUGUCUUUCCCUCCCUUCGGGGUGGGAUUACAAAAGAUAACAGAUCUUUCAUGAUCAUGUGAUGGGUGGUGCAUGGCCGUUCUUAGUUCGUGGAGUGAUCUGUCUGCUUAAUUGCGUUUCAAAUUUUAUAUUUGUUAACAUGCGAGUCUUCAAUGACGGCCACUCCACCUUAUAGACAUUAUAUGAUAUGCACAUUUGUGUAUUUGAUUAUAACUUGUCUGGAGUCUGGCUCGAUUUUUUUGACUCAAUUGAACGCAACGGACGUGAUUGCAAGUCCUUGUUGAACAAAUUAUAUAUAUACUACUUCAUCAUUAGUAUAUAUAGUUCGCUUCUCAUGUCGUAGCAGUCAAACGGGCGGGCGUCUUAAUUGGCGCGGUCACGAGGCUUAAUAUGCUGCGGCUGGGAAAACUUGGGCGACCGCUGUAAUACUUCUCUCUUAAACCAGAGGAAGAUUGCGGCAAUAACAGG